rnacentral:rRNA from 1 species
GAUGAACGCUGGCGGCGUGCCUAAUACAUGCAAGUCGAGCGAACAGACGAGGAGCUUGCUCCUCUGACGUUAGCGGCGGACGGGUGAGUAACACGUGGAUAACCUACCUAUAAGACUGGGAUAACUUCGGGAAACCGGAGCUAAUACCGGAUAAUAUAUUGAACCGCAUGGAUCAAUAGUGAAAGACGGUUUUGCUGUCACUUAGAGAUGGAUCCGCGCCGCAUUAGCUAGUUGGUAAGGUAACGGCUUACCAAGGCAACGAUGCGUAGCCGACCUGAGAGGGUGAUCGGCCACACUGGAACUGAGACACGGUCCAGACUCCUACGGGAGGCAGCAGUAGGGAAUCUUCCGCAAUGGGCGAAAGCCUGACGGAGCAACGCCGCGUGAGUGAUGAAGGUCUUCGGAUCGUAAAACUCUGUUAUUAGGGAAGAACAAAUGUGUAAGUAACUAUGCACGUCUUGACGGUACCUAAUCAGAAAGCCACGGCUAACUACGUG